GUGAACUAUGCCUGGCCAGGACGAAGUCAGGGGAAACCCUGAUGGAGGUCCGUAGCAAUUCUGACGUGCAAAUCGAUUGUCAGAGCUGGGUAUAGGGGCGAAAGACUAAUCGAACCAUCUAGUAGCUGGUUCCCUCCGAAGUUUCCCUCAGGAUAGCUGGCGUUCAGUGAAAGGAGUCCCAUCCGGUAAAGCGAAUGAUUAGAGGCCUUGGGGACGAAACGCCCUCAACCUAUUCUCAAACUUUAAAUGGGUGGGAACCGCGGCUAUCUCGAAAGAUGUAGCCGCGGUCCCGGAUCAGAACGCCAAGUGGGCCAUUUUUGGUAAGCAGAACUGGCGCUGUGGGAUGAACCAAACGCCGGGUUAAGGCGCCUAAUGAACGCUCAUGAGACACCAUGAAAGGUGUUGGUUGCUAGAGACAGCAGGACGGUGGCCAUGGAAGUCGGAAUCCGCUAAGGAGUGUGUAACAACUCACCUGCCGAAGCAACUAGCCCUGAAAAUGGAUGGCGCUGAAGCGUUCAGCCUAUAC
rnacentral:rRNA from 1 species